GUAGGGGGCAAGCGUUAUCCGGAUUUACUGGGUGUAAAGGGAGCGUAGACGGCAUGGCAAGUCUGAAGUGAAAGCCCGGGGCUCAACCGCGGGACUGCUUUGGAAACUGUUAAGCUGGAGUGCAGGAGAGGUAAGUGGAAUUCCUAGUGUAGCGGUGAAAUGCGUAGAUAUUAGGAGGAACACCAGUGGCGAAGGCGGCUUACUGGACUGUAACUGACGUUGAGGCUCGAAAGCGUGGGGAGCAAA
rnacentral:rRNA from 1 species